rnacentral:rRNA from 1 species
UACGAAGGGGGCGAGCGUUGUUCGGAGUUACUGGGCGUAAAGCGCGCGCAGGCGGUCUUUCAAGUCAGUGGUGAAAGCCUGGAGCUCAACUCCAGAACUGCCAUUGAAACUGCAAGACUUGAGUACGAGAGAGGUGAGUGGAAUUCCCAGUGUAGAGGUGAAAUUCGUAGAUAUUGGGAAGAACACCGGUGGCGAAGGCGGCUCACUGGCUCGUAACUGACGCUCAGGCGCGACAGCGUGGGGAUCAAACAGG